ACACUAGAAAAUAAUCGGAAGAGGGAAAAACGUUUCAAUCGUUUGUUUAACACUUCUAUACACAGAUCACUCAGUGGGAAUGACACUAAUUUUGGAAUUUGAAAUUAAUUUGAAGAUUGACAGUUUUUUAUUGAAAAUUUAAAAAAAAUCAUAUGGUUUA
ensembl:snoRNA C54G4.16 ncRNA